rnacentral:rRNA from 1 species
AGCUAGUUGGUAGGGUAAUGGCUUACCAAGGCAACGAUGGUUAGCGGGUCUGAGAGGAUGAUCCGCCACACUGGAACUGAAACACGGACCAGACUCCUACGGGAGGCAGCAGUGAGGAGUAUUGCGCAAUGGGGGAAACCCUGACGCAGCGACGCCGCGUGGAUGAUGAAGGCCUUCGGGUCGUAAAAUCCUGUCAGAUGGAAAGAAAUGUGUAGUGGUUAAUACCCAUUACACUUGACGGUACCAUCAGAGGAAGCACCGGCUAACUCCGUGCCAGCAGCCGCGGUAAUACGGAGGGUGCAAGCGUUGUUCGGAAUUACUGGGCGUAAAGCGCGCGUAGGCGGUUUGUUAAGUCAGAUGUGAAAGCCCAGGGCUUAACCUUGGACGUGCAUUUGAAACUGGCAGACUUGAGUAUUGGAGGGGGUGGCGGAAUUCCCGGUGUAGAGGUGAAAUUCGUAGAUAUCGGGAGGAAUACCGGUGGCGAAGGCGACCACCUGGCCAAAUACUGACGCUGAGGUGCGAAAGCGUGGGAGCAAACAGGAUUAGAUACCCUGGUAGUCCACGCCGUAAACGAUG